rnacentral:rRNA from 1 species
GGAUGCGAUCAUACCAGCACUAAAGCAUCGGAUCCAUCAGAACUCCGAAGUUAAGCGUGCUUGGGCGAGAGUAGUACUAGGAUGGGUGACCUCCUGGGAAGUCCUCGUGUUGCAUUCC